AAAUGAAUAAAGUUAUAUUAAAAAUUCAAAUCCCAUUUACUAUUAAAUUAAAAACUCAAAUAUUUUAUUAAAUUAAAAAUAUGUGUUUCCAUUUAAAAAAACAAAGUUUAAACCCUUACAAGGCAUAAGAGGCGAACUUAAAACGUAAUACAUAGUUAAUAAUUCAAUAAUAAUGUGUAACUAAAGAUAACCAAAAAAAAAAAAAAUGUUUAAAUAUAUAUAUUCUGUAAGUAAUUGAGUGGGUUAUGAUAAAAAAAUCACUCUGUAUAUAAGAGAUAACAGAUUUACAGGAAUGUAUUUGCCUGCUUUCAGAAAGCACAAUGUUCAAAAGUUAUGUGUGUAGCCCGUAAAGUUACACAUAGCUCGAGUUGGCAUUACCUCUCUCAAUGUAAUGACAACAAUCGUGUCCGGCACUACCGGCACCUUGCGAGCAUUACGUCGGUGUACGCGAUUGAAGUCGUACCGCAUCUCUUGAGUCUGAUGACUCGUGGCCAGUGAGCUGGCGUGUUUUUAAUUUGUUUCAUUGUUUUUUGGUUGGUAUUGGCCUGUUUAGGUGACAACCAACACUUUAUAUUACCAGUUACGUGCUAUUACUCGAGUGCUCAACGGAAAUAGAGCAGCGGAGGUUGACAUUCCAUACGCAAAAGGAACAAUUACUUUGGGAAGCAUUUUGGCAGUCGAUUCAACGUUAAUUGCACUAUGGAUAGCUGAUGGCUGGCAUAGUUAAAUAGAGAAGCGACAAAUUUAAUAUAGUCACUACCAAUAUUUGUACAAAAAACAUUAAAAUCAUUUCAAGUUAUGAUAGUUGUUAUGGUUGUAACGGGUAACGAGAAAUGAGGGUUCGAUUCCGGAGAGGGAGUCUGAGAAACGGCUACCACAUCCAAGGAAAGCAGCAGGCGCGUAAAUUACCCACUCCCGGAACAUGGAGGUAGUGACGAAAAAUGACGAUACUGGAUUCAUCCUUUGUAAUCGGAAUGAAUGAGUUCUAUAUCUCUAAAUAAGAAUAAAGUGUGUUAAUAUAUAUUUUUAAUAGUAAUUAGAAUAUAUAUAUAUAUAUAUAUAUAUACAUGUAAAGCGACUUACGUACGUAAACGUAUCAUGCACUAGGUACAGCCGUGUUUUGACGACGGGCGGGUCGGACUAACGUUAUAUCUAAGGUAUAUUAGGGUGUCCCUUAUUUUUAAAAUUUUGGAAUUUCUUUGGGCUUACCCCCCAAAUUUGUGUGUAUACAUAUAUAAAGUGGC